rnacentral:rRNA from 1 species
AGGAUGAACGCUGGCGGCGUGCCUAAGACAUGCAAGUCGAGUGGGUUUAGACCCACGGCGAACGGGUGAGUAAUACCUAGGAACUUUUCUCAAGUUGAGGAUAUCCUCCCGAAAGGGAGUGCAAUACUCAAUGUGGCAGCAAUGCUAAAGUCGCAAGACGCUUGAGGUGAGGCCUGGGCACCAUCAGCUAGUUGGUAAGGUAAUGGCUUACCAAGGCUUUGACGGUUAGCGGAUCUGAGAGGAUGACCCGCCACACUGGGACUGCGACACGGCCCAGACUCCUACGGGAGGCAGCAGUUUGGAAUUUUGGUCAAUGGGGGAAACCCUGAACCAGCGACGCCGCGUGGACGAAGAAGGUUUUCGGAUUGUAAAGUCCUUUUAGCAGGGAACAAUUUGAGCGUACCUGCAGAAUAAGAGGUUGCUAACUCUGCGCCAGCAGCCGC